rnacentral:rRNA from 1 species
CCUACGGGGGGCUGCAGUGAGGAAUAUUGGUCAAUGGACGGGAGUCUGAACCAGCCAAGUAGCGUGAAGGAUGACUGCUCUAUGGGUUGUAAACUUCUUUUAUAUGGGAAUAAAACAGGGUAUGCAUACCCUCUUGUAUGUACCAUAUGAAUAAGGAUCGGCUAACUCAGCGCCAGCAGCCGCGGUAAUACGGAGGAUCCGAGCGUUAUCCGGAUUUAGUGGGUUUAAAGGGAGCGUAGGUGGAUUGUUAAGUCAGUUGUGAAAGUUUGCGGCUCAACCGUAAAAUUGCAGUUGAAACUGGCAGGCUUGAGUACAGUAGAGGUGAGCGGAAUUCGUGGUGUAGCGGUGAAAUGCGUAGAUAUCACGAAGAACUCCGAUUGCGAAGGCAGCUCACUGGACUGCAACUGACACUGAUGCUCGAAAGUGUGGGUAUCAAACAGGAUUAGAUACCCGAGUAGUC